rnacentral:lncRNA from 1 species
CUGAGUCAGCUCAUAGGAGGCCACGGAUCCUACAGGAGAGAAAACGGGAGAGAAAAGGCUUGAAACUGAGGAGCUGAACUCCAAGUAGUAUGAUGUCCUGCCCAUGUGGCCAUUCCUUGUCCUGCGUGGAGAUGGCCAGGGACUGACUUACAAUGGCGACUGAGGGAUUAUUCUGAGAUCUAAGGUCCCUGAUUCCCUGGUCUGCAGACUGCUGGUGCCAAUGGAGGAAAUUUUUCUCUUCUCUUUGUGACUCAUGCCUGCCUCAAUACCAGGACCAGCGUACAGUGGUGACUCCUGCACCAAAGUCAGAGACAGAAGAACAUCCACCCAUCAAAUGUUAAUCCAGACCCACUGUGGUCUGGGACACGUUCCAUGCGGUGAAUUCAGCAGGAACAAGACACAGCCUUCUUGAAAUACAGGACCUAGGAACACAAAAUCUGCAAACUGCACUUAACACAAAAGGGAAGGGGCUGAGAUGGGGAGGAACAAUUCCAAGGUCACUUGGCAAGGAGAGAGAAAAGGAAGACGAGAAAUGCUCUGGACCUGUAACAGUAAGUCUUCUGAGUGUCCUGGGACCAGCCUGCCAGGGAGGGCAUGGGAAAAUCCUCAGCCCAAAUUCUCAGCCCAAAUCCCUCCCUAUGGAGACGGCAUCUCAGUCAGCUCUUUUAGCUGCCUGUAGGGGGCGCGCCUGCCACACUCUGGGUUGAAAGGGAGAGAAAAGACGGUUGAUUCCCAGCUCAGGAACCAAGCUGUCUAG